rnacentral:rRNA from 1 species
UGGGGAAUAUUGGACAAUGGGCGCAAGCCUGAUCCAGCCAUGCCGCGUGAGUGAUGAAGGCCCUAGGGUUGUAAAGCUCUUUUGUGCGGGAAGAUAAUGACUGUACCGCAAGAAUAAGCCCCGGCUAACUUCGUGCCAGCAGCCGCGGUAAUACGAAGGGGGCUAGCGUUGCUCGGAAUCACUGGGCGUAAAGGGUGCGUAGGCGGGUCUUUAAGUCAGGGGUGAAAUCCUGGAGCUCAACUCCAGAACUGCCUUUGAUACUGAAGAUCUUGAGUUCGGGAGAGGUGAGUGGAACUGCGAGUGUAGAGGUGAAAUUCGUAGAUAUUCGCAAGAACACCAGUGGCGAAGGCGGCUCACUGGCCCGAUACUGACGCUGAGGCACGAAAGCGUGGGGAGCAAACG